GGCUCCUUGGUUUAGCGGUAUAAUUCUCCCUUCGGGCGACUCACACCCGGAAUUCCUAAGUAAUUCCUGUAGAAUUGGGAGAGGUCCCGGGUUCGAUUCCCGGAGGAGCCC